rnacentral:rRNA from 1 species
UACGGGGGGGGCAAGCGUUGUUCGGAAUUACUGGGCGUAAAGGGCUCGUAGGUGGCCAACUAAGUCAGACGUGAAAUCCCUCGGCUUAACCGGGGAACUGCGUCUGAUACUGGAUGGCUUGAGUUUGGGAGAGGGACGCGGAAUUCCAGGUGUAGCGGUGAAAUGCGUAGAUAUCGAGAGGAACACCUGCGGCGAAGGCGGGUUGCUGGGCUGACACUGACGCUGAGGCGCGAAAGCCAGGGGAGCGAACGGG